GCGGACGGCUCAGUAACACGUAGUCAACCUAACUCGUGGACGUGGAUAACCUCGGGAAACUGAGAAUAAACCACGAUAGAUCAUAGUGCCUGGAAUGGCUUAUGGUCCAAACAGUUUACUGCCAUGGGAUGGGACUGCGGCCUAUCAGCUUGUUGGUGAGGUAAUGGCCCACCAAGUCGAUUACAGGUACGGGCUCUGAGAGGAGAAGCCCGGAGAUGGGUACUGAGACACGGACCCAGGCCCUAUGGGGCGCAGCAGGCGAGAAACCUUAGCAAUGUGCGAAAGCACGACUGGGUCAGUCCGAGUGAUUCCUGAUAAAGGAGUCUUUUGCUUGUCCUAAAAGCACAGGUGAAUAAGGGGUGGGCAAGUCUGGCGUCAGCCGCCGCGGUAAUACCAGCACCUCGAGUGGUCAGGACGUUUAUUGGGCCUAAAGCAUCCGUAGCCGGCUUUGCAAGUCUUCGGUUAAAUCCACCUGCUCAACAGAUGGGCCGCUGGAGAUACUACAGAGCUAGGGAGUGGGAGAGGCAGACGGUAUUCAGUGGGUAGGGGUAAAAUCCUCUGAUCCAUUGAGGACCACCAGUGGCGAAGGCGGUCUGCCAGAACACGUUCGACGGUGAGGGAUGAAAGCUGGGGGAGCAAACCGGAUUAGAUACCCGGGUAGUCCCAGCUGUAAACGAUGCAAACUCGGUGAUGCAUUGGCUUAUGGCCA
rnacentral:rRNA from 1 species